rnacentral:lncRNA from 1 species
AGAGUAUAUGGAUAGACAUUUAUUGAUUCAUUAAUGUAUAUAUGUUGGGGUUUUCACUGUAUGAGGAGGCGGAGUCACACUCUAGGGCUGUACAAUCGAGAGCAUGCUGCACAAUCGAGAGCAUCCAUUUCAGGCUGUAUCACCGCCUGGUAUGGCAACUGCUCCGACCACAACCGACACCUACACCACCCGAUGUCACAGGAAGGCCAAAAAGAUCAUCAAGGACAACAACCACCCGAGCCACUGCCUGUUCACCCCGCUAUCAUCCAGAAGGCGAGGACCUGAGCCCUAGGACCAUGCCUCAGGACUACCUGGCAUGAUGACUCCCAGUCCACCUGGCUGUGCUGCUGCUCCAGUUUCAACUGUUCUGCCUGCGGCUAUGGAACCCUGACCUGUUCACCGGACGUGCUACCUGUCCCAGACCUGCUGUCCCAGACCUGCUGGAACCCUGACCUGUUCACCGGACGUGCUACCUGUCCCAGACCUGCUGUCCCAGACCUGCUGGAACCCUGACCUGUUCACCGGACGUGCACCUGUCCCAGACCUGCUGUUUUCAACUCUCUAGGGACAGCAGGAGCGGUAGAGAUACUCUCAAAGAUCGGCUAUGAAAAAGCCAACUGACACUUAGUCUUGAGUUGCUGACUUGUUGCACCCUCGACAACUACUAUGAUUAUUAUUAUUUGACCAUGCUGGUAAUUUAUGAACAUUUGAACAUCUUGGCCAUGUGCUGUUAUAAUCUCCACCCGGCACAGCCAGAAGAGGACUGGCCACCCC